AGCGGGGAGAAGCGCGACUGGGGUCGUGGCGGAUGGUUAGACGGGCUCGCCUGCGGCUACUUGCAGCUUGUGUGGAAACCGCAGAUAGGGAGCGGGAGCCCUUCGCGAGCCGGUGUGAAACUGCUGCGGUCGGCGACGCUGGGCUCGGAGCGCUCGAGCGAACGGAGGGUUGAGGGGUCUCCCCACCCACUGGAGGCUCUCGGCGGGGCGGGGCUAAUUCUGCGCGCCCGAGGCUCCCCUCCGCCCAGGAGAGCGCGUCCUGAGCGCCGGCGUCUUCCCCGGAAGGGCCAGACGGAUCCAGGGCGCCUCCCCGGCUGGGUGCGAGUUCUCGGGCGCUAAACUGAGAACAAAGCUUCCAGAGAGGCAGCGCCCCUCGGCGGCCGCGCCCCGCCCAGUCGCGGAGGCCAUUGAUAAGAGUGAGGGCGACUGCGCCUCGUGCGCCAGGCCAAGCCUGGCCUUCCAGAAACGCCCCUGAGAAAUGAGCUCAUGCUGGCUGCGCGCGCUCCUCGGGCGCGACUGCCCAGCGCAGAACGGGCCCCAAAAGCAGGGCUCAUCAGGUGGUGCCUUGCAAAGAUCAGUGAUUCUGAGCCACAGUAACCAACCAGAGGACUAGAAAAAGAUGAAUAUAGGAAAGCUGGGUGAUACAGAACAGGGACACGGGUUCGAACCGUGGACCAGGAAGAUUCCUACAAGCCGCAGAGCAACUAAGCCCAUGCGCCACAACUACUGAAGCCCACGCGCCCGUGCUCCACAACGAGAGGCCACCGCAAUGAGAAGCCCACGCACUGCAACAAAGAGUAGCCCCCGCUCACCACAACUAGAGAAAGCCUGCGCACAGCAACGAAGACCCAAUGCAGCCAAAAAUAAAUUAAUUAAUUUUAAAAAAAGUAUUGGACUUUAAAUAAUACUGUUUUAAAAUAUUGCUUAUUAUGCCUGUUAUCCUUUUUUA